CGGUCCAGACUCCUACGGGAGGCAGCAGUGGGGAAUAUUGCACAAUGGGCGCAAGCCUGAUGCAGCCAUGCCGCGUGUGUGAAGAAGGCCUUCGGGUUGUAAAGCACUUUCAGCGGGGAGGAAGGCGAUAAGGUUAAUAACCUUGGCGAUUGACGUUACCCGCAGAAGAAGCACCGGCUAACUCCGUGCCAGCAGCCGCGGUAAUACGGAGGGUGCAAGCGUUAAUCGGAAUUACUGGGCGUAAAGCGCACGCAG
rnacentral:rRNA from 1 species